CGGCGGACGGGUGAGUAACACGUGGGUAACCUACCUAUAAGACUGGGACAACUUCGGGAAACCGGAGCUAAUACCGGAUAAGAUAUCGAACCGCAUGGUUCGAUAGUGAAAGAUGGUUUUGCUAUCACUUAUAGAUGGACCCGCGCCGUAUUAGCUAGUUGGUGAGGUAACGGCUCACCAAGGCAACGAUACGUAGCCGACCUGAGAGGGUGAUCGGCCACAUUGGGACUGAGACACGGCCCAAACUCCUACGGGAGGCAGCAGCA
rnacentral:rRNA from 1 species